rnacentral:rRNA from 1 species
AACGAACGCUGGCGGCAUGCCUAACACAUGCAAGUCGAACGAGACCUUCGGGUCUAGUGGCGCUCGGGUGCGUAACGCGUGGGAACCUGCCCUUAGGUUCCGAAUAACUCCCCUAAGGGGGUGCUAAUACCGGUUAAUGUCUUCGGACCAAAGAUUUAUCGCCUUUGGAUGGGCCCGCGUUGGAUUAGCUAGUUGGUAGGGGAAAAGCAUACCAAGGCGACGAUCCAUAGCUGGUCUGAGAGGAUGAUCAGCGACACUGGGACUGAGACACGGCCUAGACCCCUACGGGAGGGAGAAGUAGGGAAUAUUGGACAAGGGGCGAAAGUCUGACACAGCAACGCCGGGUGAGUGAUGAAGGCCGUAGGGUUGUAAAGCUCUUUUACCCGGGAUGAUAAUGACAGUACCGGGAGAAGAAGCUCCGGCUAACUCCGUG